rnacentral:rRNA from 1 species
CACCGCCGCGGUAAAACGUAGGGUGCAAGCGUUAAUCGGAAUUACUGGGCGUAAAGCGUGCGCAGGCGGUUGUGUAAGACAGGUGUGAAAUCCCCGGGCUUAACCUGGGAAUUGCAUUUGUGACUGCACGACUAGAGUGUGUCAGAGGGGGGUGGAAUUCCACGUGUAGCAGUGAAAUGCGUAGAUAUGUGGAGGAACACCAAUGGCGAAGGCAGCCCCCUGGGAUAACACUGACGCUCAUGCACGAAAGCGUGGGGAGCAAACAGGAUUAGAUACCCCCGUAGUCCCUGUCUCUUAUACC